rnacentral:rRNA from 1 species
UACGUAGGGAGCAAGCGUUGUCCGGAAUCAUUGGGCGUAAAGCGCGCGUAGGUGGCUUCGUAAGUCCGUUGUGAAAGUCAAAGGCUCAACCUUUGAAAGCCGAUGGAUACUGCGGAGCUAGAGUACGGAAGAGGCGAGUGGAAUUCCUGGUGUAGCGGUGGAAUGCGCAGAUAUCAGGAGGAACACCCGUGGCUAAGGCGGCUCUCUAGUACGGUACUGACGCUGAGACGCGAAAGCGUGGGGAGCGAACAGG